rnacentral:rRNA from 1 species
AUUGAACGCUGGCGGCAGGCCUAACACAUGCAAGUCGAGCGAGCGGCGGACGGGUGAGUAAUGCCUAGGUAUCUGCCUGGUUGUGGGGGAUAACGUCCGGAAACGGGCGCUAAUACCGCAUACCAUCAGCUGUGCCCAGAUGGGAUGAGCUAGUAGGUGGGGUAAUGGCUCACCUAGGCGACGAUCCCUAGCUGGUCUGAGAGGAUGACCAGCCACACUGGAACUGAGACACGGUCCAGACCCCUACGGGAGGCAGCGGUGGGGAAUAUUGCACAAUGGACGCAAGCCUGAUGCAGCCAUGCCGCGUGUAUGAAGAAGGCCUGCGGGUUGUAAAGUACUUUCAGCGGGGAGGCGUUACCCGAAGAAGAAGCACCGGCUAACUCCGUGCCAGCAGCCGCGGUAAUUC